rnacentral:misc_RNA from 1 species
GGACAGGGCAAAGAAGUGAUUACUAUCUCAGCCUACUAGUUCAUUCACCACAUGAGAAGAUCUAUCACAAACAUUCUUAGCUAGAUAUCUUCCACUUGGGAAGACAGCUAAACUCCGCACUGAACUUAAUACAUUCCGGCAAAGGGACAAUGAAUCUCUCUAUGAUGCAUAGAAAGGUACGAAGAUCUUAAGAGAGAAAGCCCACACCAUGGCAUCCAAAACUAGCUACUUAUUCAGAAUUUUUAUAAUGGGUCGGUACAACAAGAAGCACCAUUGAUUCAGCAGGUGGUGGAGAUUUGAUAGGGAAAACCAAUACUAAAGCUUUUGAUCUCCUAAACAAGGUUGCCUAUCACAACUUUAAGUAGGUCAAUGAAAGAGGAGACGAGAAUAUCAACUCGAGUAAUUGAACUGGAUGCAUUGAGCAUGAUCAACUGACGAAGAGGUUAGAUAGGUUGAGUGCUAAUGUUGUUAGAGCUAGUAACUUAGUCAGUUAUCAGUGUGGGGGAGGACAUCAAAGUUCAAAAACAAUUAUUACAAUUAUCCUACUUCCAAGCAAUUAAACUAUGUAAACAACAAUGGGAAUUUCAACGAGAGAUCUGGAGGGAACCCUUACUCUAAUACUUAUAAUACUGGAUGGAAUAAUCACCCAAACUUCUCAUAGUCCAACCCGCAAAAUCAGCCUAUCAACCAACAGUAAGGGUAGAAACCACCACCACUGCGAUUUUAGCAAAGAUAUCCGAAUCCAUCCCAUUACUACCUCCUCCUCAGCCUCAACCUCAACCUCAAAAGCAAAAAUCAUCCAUGGAAGCUAUGGCAGAGAACUUUUUUAUAGCACAACAACAGCAAAAUGAGAUGA